GGAGCCAAUGUCCACAUUGUGGGUUGUGGCUGCAUCACAUGGCAGUACAUAAGCAAUGUCAUCAUCCACAAUGUGCAUAUCCACCACUGUUAUCCGUCAGGAUUGAUAAUCAUACAAGCCGAUUUCAAUCCCUCUUUCGUGUAUCAGCCCUCAUAAAGAUGACAUUUAUAUGCUUUUGUUGAAGAACUUUACGAAAUAUUCAUUACAUUUUUGUGUUGUUUUACCCCACAUUGUAUCUCAGUAUCUUCUUGAAGAUGUUGCUUUGGAGCCCAAAUGGUUGAAUAAAAUCCCCGUAGUAAUGUGUUGAUUCAUGCAGUUGACAAACUCAGGAGCUUCUUAAGGCAACUUCCUCUUUUUUCAAAUGCUUUUCUGGUUGGUGGUGCAGAAGACUUCUUUAUCAUUGAACUUGCAGAUCAGGUGGAUAUUUUCUUUACUGGUCAGCUUCAAAAACUGAAGGUGGAACCAGCACAUAAAACUUCUCCGGGGGCCUGAGUCAUUGGGUAUUAUUGUUGGAAUUGUUUUCUUGGUCCUGAGAAUCUUAUUCCAGUAUUUCAACUUCACUGCAGAUUCAAAUAGUUAAAACCUCUGCAGAGGACAACAAAGAACAUAAGCCACCUCUACAGCGGAGCUAACAAGAGAGAGAACCCAUUCUAACAGAGAUCAAGGCAGAAAAAUCCUCUUCCACCACCCAGUGGCAUAUAUAUAAAGACCUAUCCAAACUCUUUUGAACAAUGAGUAGCUCAAUAUUGUCGAUAUUUUGAUGUUUUGACUGUUACUUGAUUUAUUAAAAUAUGGUCAGUAUUUUAAUCAAGACAAACAACAUAAAA